UAGGGAGUCUUCCACAAUGGACGCAAGUCUGAUGGAGCAACGCCGCGUGAGUGAAGAAGGUCUUCGGAUCGUAAAACUCUGUUGUUAGAGAAGAACACGAGUGAGAGUAACUGUUCAUUCGAUGACGGUAUCUAACCAGCAAGUCACGGCUAACUACUUGCCUG
rnacentral:rRNA from 1 species